UACGUAGGGGGCUAGCGUUGUCCGGAAUCAUUGGGCGUAAAGAGCGUGUAGGCGGUCCGGUAAGUCCGCUGUGAAAGUCGGGGGCUCAACCCUCGAGACGUCGAUGGAAACCAUCUGGCUAGAGUCCGGAGGAGGAGAGUGGAAUUCCUGGUGUAGCGGUGAAAUGCGCAGAUAUCAGGAGGAACACCGAUGGCGAAGGCAGCUUGCUGGGACGGUACUGACGCUGAGACGCGAAAGCGUGGGGAGCAAACAGG
rnacentral:rRNA from 1 species